GACGAACGCUGGCGGCGUGCUUAACACAUGCAAGUCGAACGGAAAGGCCCUGCUUUUGUGGGGUGCUCGAGUGGCGAACGGGUGAGUAACACGUGAGUAACCUGCCCUUGACUUUGGGAUAACUUCAGGAAACUGGGGCUAAUACCGGAUAGGAGCUCCUGCUGCAUGGUGGGGGUUGGAAAGUUUCGGCGGUUGGGGAUGGACUCGCGGCUUAUCAGCUUGUUGGUGGGGUAGUGGCUUACCAAGGCUUUGACGGGUAGCCGGCCUGAGAGGGUGACCGGCCACAUUGGGACUGAGAUACGGCCCAGACUCCUACGGGAGGCAGCAGUGGGGAAUAUUGCACAAUGGGCGGAAGCCUGAUGCAGCAACGCCGCGUGCGGGAUGACGGCCUUCGGGUUGUAAACCGCUUUCGCCUGUGACGAAGCGUGAGUGACGGUAAUGGGUAAAGAAACACCGGCUAACUACGG
rnacentral:rRNA from 1 species